rnacentral:rRNA from 1 species
UACGGGGGUAGCAAGCGUUGUUCGGAUUUACUGGGCGUAAAGGGCGCGUAGGCGGCCACCGCAAGUCAAUUGUGAAAUCUCCGGGCUUAACUCGGAAAGGUCAACUGAUACUGCGGGGCUAGAGUGCGGAAGGGGCAACUGGAAUUCUCGGUGUAGCGGUGAAAUGCGUAGAGAUCGGGAGGAACACCAGAGGCGAAGGCGGCGACCUGGACAAUUACUGACACUCAACUACGAAAGCGUGGGGAGCAAACAGG